UUAUCAAAAAGGGCGAAAAUUUGGUCGUUGCCUUAUAGCUGAUCAAUAAGGGCGACUAAAUAAAAUUCGCCCUCUUUGAUCAAACAAUAAUGGCGACUUCAACAAUCGCCCUCUUUGAUAAACAAUAAGGGGGCAAAUUAAUAGUAGUUGUCGUCCUUUCUUGCACAAAUAAACAAAUACUUCUACUGUACUCCGUAAAACAAACCCCAAAACCAAAAAUUGUAAAACCCCUCUCUCUCCUCACAAUACGAAAACUACACUUCGAAUUCUCCAUUGAAACGAGUUUGAGCUUUCUCGAUCCUCCAUUGAAGCGAAUUUGAGCUUUCUCGAUCCUCCAUUGAAGCGAAUUUGAGCUUUCUCGAUCCUCCAUUGAAGCGACUUUGAGCUUUCUCCUCCAUUGAAGCGGCUUCUCAGGUAGUAUUAAAUUAUGGCCUGGACUAUCAAUUUCACAAUCUAGGGUUUAAUGCUAGUUAAUUACUCGAAUGUUUUUGUUAUUGAAAUUUAAAUUUUUGCUUGGAUUCGAAAUUUGUUGUAUAGCAUGCUACUUUUGUCGAGUCAAGCAAGAUUUCGAUUUUGCCUGUUAAAAAAUUGAUGAAAUACCUAUAAUAAUCAUACUUAAAUAAUCCGGAAUGGUGCAAAUAUAGUGUUUGAUGAAAUGCCUUAAAGAAUCCGGGAAAAAAGAAAAGUUUAUAGUUUUCAAAUACUGCAGAUAAAGUGUUUGAUGAAACGCCUCAAAGACUGUUGAUUAAAAAAAAAAAAAAAAAAAUUGUUUUGUAUGAACAGGUGUUUAUGAUGCAUGAUCAUUGGAGAUAAGUAUAUGAUUAAUUACCUCAUUAUCUGAUUUCAAAAUGUAAUGUAUAAUAGUAGUUGAUUGCAGUUUGAUUAUAGAUUACUUAUUGAUUGUGAAGCUCUUUUAGGUAUCCAUGUUAUGUUCAGAGCUAGUUUAUGAUUUGGUAAACAUGAAAGCAUAUUUAUCUUGAUGUUUUCGACAGUCUUGUAAUUGUCGUUCUGUGUUUUAAUUGUGUCCACAUGUAUGCAAUUGAUCAUGGUAGAUUUUUAAAACCAUAGAGCUUACUCAUUAAUGUAUGUUUGAAGUGUCUCAUAGGCUUAUUAGAAGAUAAACAUGUGAUCUUUGUAGGAACUUGUUUUUUAACACUAGUGUGUGACAAUCUAGAACAGAUAUACUGAAAAUUACAAGAACCCCUAUUAGAAAUUCAACUAAGAAAAAUCGAAAAAUCAAAUUAAAUAUUCAGAAGAGAUCCUCUCAAUCAAGAUUUUUUGUCAUUUGAUUAUGCAGUGAGUGGCAUAGAAUUAUAACCCAUGUUUGCGUUCCCAAGUUGUCCGUUGAGGCACCUGUUUCAGGGUAUACUUCCGUAUUGCUCGAUUAUCGGGGAAAAGAACAAUGAAUGAGCCUGAAGGGUCUACCUCUCAAGAGUCUCAACAACUUAAAAAAAGAAAAGGAAUAACUACAAAAUGAAAAUAAUAUGAUGCGAGCUGAAUUGGAAGUUUCUAAGAAGAAACAAGAUGACCUAGAACAAAAGCUUCGGUUAGUCGUGGAGAAGAUUGGCCUUAAUGCUUAAUAGAGGACUCGAAACUGUUUCUUACCUGAAUCUGUCAAGUUUGCAGUCAGGGGAUCAAGUCAAUGUGCUGAUGUUUUGGAGAUGGACACCAAAAGGCGGGUUGCAUUACAGAUGGAAAAAAAGGGGAUGCUAGAAGCUGCAAGAAUGAGAAGAUUGCUUGAUAGUUCAUGUCCUAGAAAAAACAUUAUUAAAUUUUAGUACUCUUUGGCUUAGCUAUUUGCUAUUUAUAAAAACUUGGUUAAUACUUUUGUUUAUAUGCCUAUUAAGACCUUUUUUUUCCUUAA